GACGAACGCUGGCGGCGUGCUUAACACACGCAAGUCGAACGGAAAGGCCCUGCUUGCAGGGUACUCGAGUGGCGAACGGGUGAGUAACACGUGGGUGAUCUGCCCUGCACUUCGGGAUAAGCCUGGGAAACUGGGUCUAAUACCGGAUAGGAGCCAUUUUUAGUGUGAUGGUUGGAAAGUUUUUUCGGUGUAGGAUGAGCUCGCGGCCUAUCAGCUUGUUGGUGGGGUAAUGGCCUACCAAGGCGGCGACGGGUAGCCGGCCUGAGAGGGUGGACGGCCACAUUGGGACUGAGAGACGGCCCAGACUCCUACGGGAGGCAGCAGUGGGGAAUAUUGCACAAUGGGCGCAAGCCUGAUGCAGCGACGCCGCGUGGGGGAUGACGGCCUUCGGGUUGUAAACUCCUUUCGCUAGGGACGAAGCUUUUUGUGACGGUACCUAGAUAAGAAGCACCGGCUAACUACGUG
rnacentral:rRNA from 1 species